rnacentral:rRNA from 1 species
GCUAAUACGGGAUAAUAUAUUGAACCGCAUGGGUCAAUAUGUGAAAGACGGUUUUGGUGUCACUUAUGUGUGGAUCCGCGCCGACCCGCUAGUUGGUAAGGUAACGGCUUACCAAGGCAACGAUGCGUAGCCAACCUGAGAGGGUGAUCGGCCACGAUGGAACUGACAGACGGUCCAGACUCCUACGGAAGGCUACAGUAGGGAAUCUUCCGCAAUGGGCGAAAGCCUGACAGAGCAACACCGCGUGACUGAUGAAGGUCUUCGAAUGUUAUCACUCUGUUAUUCUCGAAGAACAAAUGUGAACGUAGCUAUGCACGUCUUGACGGCCCCUGAUCGGAAAGCCACGGAUAACUACGUGCCACCACCCGCCGUAAUACGUAGGUGGCCAGCGUUGUCCGGAAUUAUUGGGAUUAAUGGGCGCGUAAGCGGUUUUUUGCGUCUGAUGUGAAAGCCCACGGCUCACCCCUGGACGGUCAUUGGGGACUGUUGAACUUGAGUGCACAUGAGGAAAGUGGAAUUCCGUGUGUUUCCGUGAAAUGCGCAGAGAUAUGGAGGAACAUGGAUGGCCACCGCGACUUUCUGGUCUGUAACUGACGCUGAUGUGCGAAAGCGUGGGGAUCAAACAGGAUUAGAUACGCUGGUAUUCCCCGCCGUAACCGAUGAGUGACGAGUGUUGGUGGGUGUCCGCCCCUUACCGCUGCUUCUAGCUCAUUAAGCACUCCUCCUGGGCGAGUACUAGCGCAGUGGUACAAACUCGUUGGAAUCUGACAGGGAAUUCGACAGAGGCCGCUGCGAAACAUGUGGUAUACAUUGUGGAUUUAACUUCGAAGAACCGUCACAAAAUCUUGACAUCCUCUGACCUCUCUAGAGCAUACUAGUUUAUCUCCUUCUGUCGCACUCAGUGACAGGUGGAGCAU